UUAUACUAUUAACAAUUAUCUUUACAAAAGUAAUUUUAUAUUAAUAAUAUAGAUAUACCUUUUGCAUAAUGGUUCAAUAAUUUUAAGUAAAAUUUUAAUUUCCCGAAAUUAAUUGAUCUAAAUUAUAAUAUAUAUUAUGUUGUAAAGUAAUAUUACAUAUAAAUUUAGCUGUGAAACACAAAUCAAUUUUAAUUAUAUCUGGAUGAUUUUUAAAGGUAUAUAGUACAAAAUUAAAUUUGAGUUAAAAAAUGUCAAGAUUUUUUAAUAUUAGAAUAUAUUAUAAUAUAUAUAAAUUAGAUAGUUCUAUUUGUUUUAAAUUUUAAAAUUAUUAAUAAAUUAUUUAUCUAUAAAAUAAAGAUCUUUAGUUAACUUAAUUUAAUAAAAAUACUGUUGAAAUUAGUAAAUUAUAUAAUUAAUUUAAAGGAACUCGGCAAUAUUACUCUUCACUGUUUAUCAA
rnacentral:rRNA from 1 species